rnacentral:rRNA from 1 species
UUUGAUCCUGGCUCAGAAUCAACGCUGGCGGCGUGCCUCAGACAUGCAAGUCGAACGCGAAAGAAACCUUCGGGUUUCAAGUAGAGUGGCGUCCGGGUGAGUAACACGUAGGUAAUCUACCUUCGGGUGGGGAAUAACGCAGGGAAACUUGCGCUAAUACCGCAUAAUGCAGCGGCACCACAUGGUGACAGUUGUUAAAGCGGGGGAUUUUCGAACCUCGCGCCUGAAGAGGAGCCUGCGGCAGAUUAGCUAGUUGGUAAGGUAACGGCUUACCAAGGCGACGAUCUGUAGCCGGCCUGAGAGGGCGGUCGGCCACACUGACACUGACAUACGGGUCAGACUCCUACGGGAGGCAGCAGUCGGGAAUUUUGGGCAAUGGGCGAAAGCCUGACCCAGCAACGCCGCGUGAAGGAUGAAAUCCCUCGGGAUGUAAACUUCGCAAGAAUAGGAAGAAUAGACGAGUACUAAU